CCCUUAGAUGUCCUGGGCCGCACGCGCGCUACACUGAGUGUCUGAGAUACGAGUCUGCCUGGUCCGGCAAGGUCUAGGUAAUCGCUAAAAGACACAUCAUGCUUGGGAUAGAUUAUUGCAAAUAUUAAUCUUGAACGAGGAAUUCCUAGUAAGCGCAAGUCAACAGCUUGCGUUGAUUACGUCCCUGCCCUUUGUACACACCGCCCGUCGCUACUACUGAUCGGAUGUUUAAGCGAGGUUCUCGAACUGCUAGCGACUUAGCUUCGGUGAGGUCGCAGUGUGGGAAGUGAACCUAGCUUUGGUGUCUAGAGGAAGUAAAAGUCGUAACA
rnacentral:rRNA from 1 species